GAUGAACGCUGGCGGCGUGCCUAACACAUGCAAGUCGAACGAAGCACCUUUACCCGAUUCUUCGGAUGAUGGUAAUGGUGACUGAGUGGCGGACGGGUGAGUAACGCGUGGGUAACCUGCCUCAUACAGGGGGAUAACAGUUAGAAAUGACUGCUAAUACCGCAUAAGACCACGGAGCCGCAUGGCUCUGUGGGAAAAACUCCGGUGGUAUGAGAUGGACCCGCGUCUGAUUAGGUAGUUGGUGGGGUAACGGCCCACCAAGCCGACGAUCAGUAGCCGACCUGAGAGGGUGACCGGCCACAUUGGGACUGAGACACGGCCCAA
rnacentral:rRNA from 1 species